GGCAUGUAGUAAAACACUGACUACCGGAACACCGGAACACCGCCGGAACACCACCGGAACACCACCUAACCCUAACCCCAACCCUAACCCCCAAUCCUAACCCUAACCCCAACCCUAACCCCCAAUCCUAACCCUAACCCCAAACCCUAACCCCAAACAAAAUGGUGGUGUUCCGGUGUUCCGGUGUUGCGGUAGUCAGUGUUUU